AAUAAAGAUUCUCCCGAAGAGCUUCAAUAUUCAUCUGAGAACAAAUAGGACAUAUAUUCAUGGGGAGAAAGCCAGAUCCCUUACCAUGGAGGGCACUCAAGCAACCCUAUGGAAAGCUCCACAAUGUAAGAAAUUGAGGCCUCCUGCCAACAGGUAGAGAUGAUUUGAGGCCUCCUCCCAACAGCCUGGAGAGUGAACCUGCGAGUGGAUUCUAGCCCCAGUCAAGCCUUUGGAUUACUGCAGGACCAGACAAAAAUCUUUAUUACAAUUUCAUGAGAGCUCUCACUCCAGAACCAUGAGAAUAAGGCCACUAACCCAGGACUUUUCAUUCGAAGAUUUGGAAGAAGUUGAAGAGUUGGAAGAAGUCAGAUGAUACCAGAAUAGAAACUAUCUACUUUAAACUGUACAGUGCUAGUCCCACUUGUUUACCUGAAAACCUUGUCUCUCCCAUAGCAUUGUUCCUGACUCAUCUAUGCCGUCUCUUAGCUCUUACUUACUAUUGAUGAUGUUCAUUUGAUACUUUGCAUGUGCUAUUCUAUACAUGUCUUACCUAUCACCUAGAAUACAAGUCCCUCAAAGAACAGCAACUGAUAAGCACACAAUAAAUACUUGCUUAAAAUGUUUAAAAUAUCUUUGUGGAUGUGAUAGUAAAACAUGAGCUGGACAAUUACGUAGCAUCCUUAGAAAAUGAGGCUUCUGGAAAUAUAAGUUUUCCAGAGAGCUGUUGUUUUAAUCUCCUAACACUCACUAAAACUUUAAAAUCAUUCUAAAUUGUACUCCACACUUCCCUGCUUUGUUAACAGACUACGCUGACCAUGACUUAUUGAAUUUUUUGAAGAAUAUU